CCCUGGCUAGUUCAGUAGGUAGAGCGUGAGACUCUAACUUUCAGGGUUGUGGGUUCAAGCCCCAUGUUGGGUG
rnacentral:tRNA from 1 species